AUUUCAUGUUAUUUCCCCAACUGUUUGACAUGUUUUUUUUUUUAAUCAUUUCUCUCAAAUGAACAUUGGCAUUAUCAUUAUUUACUUUUUUAGAUUGGAACAAAAUUUCCUUAAUUUCUUCUUUUAUGACAUCAUAGCUUGACCAAGGAUGCUAUGCCCUUUCACAUAUAAAGGUAUAGUUUGAUUGUUUAGAUCAUGAAUAAUAACCAUUUAACAUAAAGUGGGCUUCUAUUUAGUCCACCUAACA
rnacentral:lncRNA from 1 species